CCUCUAUUAUCGGGUUCUGCGAGAGAAGUGCUUAAAUUACUCAGAAAAGGGACUGAUGUUGACCCUUUAUCUCACCAAUGUUGGCCAAGCCAAGACCUACGAGGUAGACGGCGGCACCAGAUUCAGUUCGAAUCACUCACUCGUAGACUCAAUUUUCUUACUAAACAAACAGUACUGAAUUGGUGUUAUACGAGGCUCUUACUGAUCAUACAUAAUCACUGUUGUUGUGCUCUACGAACGCGGGAACGGUUAUGGUUAGGCCCAUCAGUGCAAGCUGGAGGACCUCCCCAUGUCUGCCCUGUAAUCUCAUUAUCUGCCUGCGAAGAUGCCACACUCGUAGCCACUGUCGGAGCAGCCGAAGGAGUUGCUGGUGAUGCCGAGCAUCCUUUACAACAAUUUCCCAUAUUAGAUAGAAUCUAUAUAUAUAUAUAUAUACGUAAAGAAAUAAGAAGUCUUUGUGUACUCUUUGAGUGCACAAAGCAAAUAUAUGUACGUGUAUGAUUUUAGAUAUGAAAGAAAUUCCUUGGUGUGGACCUUUAUAUAGGGGUCUAGACUCUAGCGCGGGGA